GGCGUAAAGCGCACGUAGGCGGCUUUGUAAGUUAGAGGUGAAAGCCUGGAGCUCAACUCCAGAAUUGCCUUUAAGACUGCAUCGCUUGAAUCCGGGAGAGGUGAGUGGAAUUCCGAGUGUAGAGGUGAAAUUCGUAGAUAUUCGGAAGAACACCAGUGGCGAAGGCGGCUCACUGGACCGGUAUUGACGCUGAUGUGCGAAAGCGUGGGGAGCAAACAGGAUUAGAUACCCUGGUAGUCCACGCCGUAAACGAUGAUAACUAGCUGUUGGGGCUCAUAGAGUUCCGGUGGCGCAGCUAACGCAUUAAGUUAUCCGCCUGGGGAGUACGGCCGCAAGGUUAAAACUCAAAGGAAUUGACGGGGGCCUGCACAAGCGGUGGAGCAUGUGGUUUAAUUCGAAGCCAACGCGCAGAACCUUACCAGCCUUUGAAUCCCUGGUGCCCGGAUCGCCAGAGAUGCUUUCCUCCAGUUCGGCUGGAUCAGUGACAGCUGCUGCAUGGCUGUCGUCAAGCUCGUGUCGUGAGAUCUUGGGUUAAGUCCCGCAACGAGCGCAACCCUCGUCUUUAGUUACCAUCAUUAAGUUGGGUACUCUAAAGAAGCCGCCGGUGAUAAGCCGGAGGAAGGUGGGGAUGACGUCAAGUCCUCAUGGCCCUUACGCGCUGGGCUACACACGUGCUACAAUGGCAACUACAAUGGGCUGCAAUCCCGCGAGGGGGCGCUAAUCUCAAAAAGUUGUCUCAGUUCGGAUUGUUCUCUGCAACUCGAGAGCAUGAAGGCGGAAU
rnacentral:rRNA from 1 species